UGGGGAAUAUUGGACAAUGGGCGAAAGCCUGAUCCAGCCAUGCCGCGUGUGUGAAGAAGGCCUUAUGGUUGUAAAGCACUUUAAGCAGUGAAGAAUACAUCAUGGCUAAUAUCCGUGAUGAAUGACAUUAGCUGCAGAAUAAGCACCGGCUAACUCUGUGCCAGCAGCCGCGGUAAUACAGAGGGUGCGAGCGUUAAUCGGAAUUACUGGGCGUAAAGCGAGCGUAGGUGGUUUAUUAAGUCAGAUGUGAAAUCCCUGGGCUUAACCUAGGAACUGCAUCUGAUACUGACAAACUAGAGUAGGUGAGAGGAAAGUAGAAUUCCAGGUGUAGCGGUGAAAUGCGUAGAGAUCUGGAGGAAUACCGAUGGCGAAGGCAGCUUUCUGGCAUCAUACUGACACUGAGGUUCGAAAGCGUGGGUAGCAAACAGGAUUAGAUACCCUGGUAGUCCACGCCGUAAACGAUGUCUACCAGUCGUUGGGUCUUUUAAAGACUUAGUGACGCAGUUAACGCGAUAAGUAGACCGCCUGGGGAGUACGGCCGCAAGGUUA
rnacentral:rRNA from 1 species